UUCCGGUUGAUCCUGCCGGACCUGACUGCUAUCGGAUUGAUACUAAGCCAUGCGAGUCUUUGUAGUAAUACAAGGCAUACGGCUCAGUAACGCGUAGUCAACCUACCCUAUGGACAAGAAUAAUCUCGGGAAACUGAGCAUAAUUCUUGAUAGAUCAUAAUUCCUGGAAUGGUUUAUGGUUAAAAUGAUUCGUCGCCAUAGGAUGGGACUGCGGCCUAUCAGCUUGUUGGUGAGGUAAUGGCCCACCAAGGCGAUUACAGGUACGGGCUCUGAGAGGAGAAGCCCGGAGAUGGGUACUGAGACAAGGACCCAGGCCCUAUGGGGCGCAGCAGGCGAGAAAACUUUGCAAUGUGCGAAAGCACGACAAGGUUAGUCCGAGUGAUUUCUGCUAAAGAGAUCUUUUGCAAGUUCUAAAACCACUAGUGAAUAAGGGGUGGGCAAGUUCUGGUGUCAGCCGCCGCGGUAAAACCAGCACCUCAAGUGGUCAGGAGGAUUAUUGGGCCUAAAGCAUCCGUAGCCGGCUCUGUAAGUUUUCGGUUAAAUCCAUGCGCUCAACGCAUGGGCUGUCGGAAAUACUGCAUAGCUAGGGAGUGGGAGAGGUAGACGGUACUCGGUAGGAAGGGGUAAAAUCCUUUGAUCUAUCGAUGACCACCUGUGGCGAAGGCGGUCUACCAGAACACGUUCGACGGUGAGGGAUGAAAGCUGGGGGAGCAAACCGGAUUAGAUACCCGGGUAGUCCCAGCUGUAAACGAUGCAGACUCGAUGAUGCAUUGGCAUAUAGCCAGUGCAGUGUCGCAGGGAAGCCGUUAAGUCUGCCGCCUGGGAAGUACGUACGCAAGUAUGAAACUUAAAGGAAUUGGCGGGGGAGCACCACAAGGGGUGAAGCCUGCGGUUCAAUUGGAUUCAACGCCGGG
rnacentral:rRNA from 1 species